AAAACCUUCACUCGAAUACCUUGGGGCAGCCGCGCCACCUUUCUCUUCAAGUGAGCCCUCAGCCUUGGUUUAAGAUCAGCCACAAGCUAUUGAUGCCUCUGGAAAUGUGCAAUAAUAUAAAGAUAAAUGGACAGUCACUGAGACAGUCACAGAGACUGACAGACAGACAACAGGCACAGCCUAAUCCAUCGCAGGUAUCGAUGUAUGGGCAAGGAAGUCCUCAGACCAUCUUUUGGUAAUGUCCUCAGGCUAUCGACAUGGCACGAUUCAUCCAACGGAGAGGGAGGGCUGUGCCGAUGACACACCGUCAGGUUCUUUACUCUGACCACCGCCGCCAUAAAUCCGCUGUGUUUUGUUGGCCUUUCCCUGUUACCUGCCAGUUUUCACCCAGUUAACAAUGUGAUGCUGACAGUCAACAUACUCAAAAUGUUCAAUUAUCUUCAGAAUCACUUUCGAUUGCUAAGUACCUUCACAGAGAAUUGUCCUUGUGUAAUUAUUCUUAUCACAAUGUUUUAAUAAUAAUGCCACUUGAAAGAUUACAUUAUUUUGUUAAAAUGUAGCUAUUCAGUGCUGAAUACAACCACUUGAUGUUUGCUAGUUAGUUUGACAGAAUGUAUUGUGUGCAGUAUAUUAGCCUGUUCUAACAAGCUCACCUUUUUUUCUGAAUAACUGUGAAUAUUUUUUUACAUAUGUAAAUAAAUUAGCCUCAUUUUCUUUGUGCACAGCCAUAUAAAUAUGGUCUAGUCAACACUUACCCUGGUAUUUAAAAAUAAAUAAAACAUCUCCUUCAUUCUUAAAAAAAUUAAUUAGUUUAAUUAGUUACCUUUACUCCUGGAGAGUAAUCAACAACAACUAGCUAUAGAAGCAGUCAAAAUAGAGUAUAUUGAGGACACAGAUUCUGCC
ensembl:lncRNA